AUUGAACGCUGGCGGCAGGCCUAACACAUGCAAGUCGAGCGGUAACACAGGGAGCUUGCUCCUGGGUGACGAGCGGCGGACGGGUGAGUAAUGUCUGGGAAACUGCCUGAUGGAGGGGGAUAACUACUGGAAACGGUAGCUAAUACCGCAUAACGUCGCAAGACCAAAGAGGGGGAGCUUCGGGCCUCUUGCCAUCAGAUGUGCCCAGAUGGGAUUAGCUAGUAGGUGGGGUAACGGCUCACCUAAGCGACGAUCCCUAGCUGGUCUCAGAGGAUGGCCCGCAGCACUGGAACGGAGACCCGGUCCCGACUCCUACGGGAGGCAGCAGUGGGGAAUAUUGCACAAUGGGCGCAAGCCUGAUGCACCCAUGCCGCGUGUAUGAAGAAGGCCUUAGGGUUGUAAAGUACUUUCAGCGGGGAGGAAGGCGUUGAGGUUAAUAACCUCAGCGAUUGACGUUACCCGCAGAAGAAGCACCGGCUAACUCCGUGCCAGCCGCCGCCGUAA
rnacentral:rRNA from 1 species